rnacentral:tRNA from 2 species
GCCGGGGUGGAGAAAUGGUAGACUCGGGGGUCUCAAAAGCCCCUUCCCUCGCGGAGUGUCGGUUCGAGUCCGACCCCCGGCA